rnacentral:rRNA from 1 species
UUGGUGGAUGGCUCGGCUUGGAGGGCGAAGAAGGGCGUGGCAAGCUGCGAAAAGGCCGGAGUAGGCGCAUGCAGCCGUUGAUUCCGGCAUCCCCGAAUGGGAAUUCCUGUUAUCUAGGUCGUAAGACCUAGAUAACGAUCCGAAAGGAUCGCGAACCACCCGAACGGAAACAUCCUAGUAGGGUGAGGAAAAGAAAUCAAUUGAGAUUCCCUGAGUAGCGGCGAGCGAAAAGGGAAAAGCCCAAACCGAACUACAUUGGGUGACCAAUGUAGGAUGUGGCGGUUGCUGACAGCAUUAUGGUAACUUUUCCCAUUAGCCGAAGUGGUCUGGAAUGACCCGACAUAGAGGGUGAAAUCCCCGUAGGCAAAAAUGGGAAAAGUUAUCGCUGUCAGCCAGAGUACUUGGCCUUGACAAUGGCUAAGGAAUAUGGGGGAAAGUGGCCUCCAAGGCUAAAUACCUUCCAAGACCGAUAGCGCACUAGUACCGUGAGGGAAAGCUGAAAAGUACCCCGAGAGGGGGGUGAAAAGAGCCUGAAACCAAAAGGUUACAGACGAGUGCGGCCUGAAAGGAAUGUAAAUACUAAACAACAUUAUCUGUUGGGGGUUUUCUCCAGCAUUUAAUGUUGUUUAGUAUUAAGCAUUCCAGGGUCGCACGCUCCGUCUAGAAACACGGGCCGGGGAGUUUACUGUCACGGCGAGCUUAAGGGUUAAAAGCCCGAAGGCGAAGGGAAACCGAAUCUCCGCAUGGAACUUUUAUGGUUCCAGAGGGAGAGGGUCUGAAAGGGCCUUUAGUCGUGGCAGUAAGACUAGAAACCGAGCGAUCGUGCCCUGGGCAGGACGAAGGCGGGCGAAAGCCCGCUGGAGGUCCGAAAGGGUGCUGACGUGCAAAUCGCUCCCUUGACCUGGGGCAAGGGGCCAAAAGCCCAUCUAGCUCGGUGAUCGCUAGUUCCUCCCGAAAUAGAUCCCAGUCUAGUCCUGGCAGAUAGGGAUAAAGCUGUAGAGUGAGGAUAAGCGGGCAAGGACCCGAAAGGGUCCACUCGCUUUUCAAACUCCGAAGGCUUUAUCCUAGAAGAAGCCAGGAAGCGGGUUUAUGUGGGGUAAGCCCCAUAACCGAGAGGGGGACAACCCAGACUAGAGUUAAGGCCCCCAAAUGUCGGCUAAGUGUCAAACCGAAGGGUGUCACCGAGCUUAGACAGCAGGGAGGUAGGCUUAGAAGCAGCCAUCCUUUAAAGAGUGCGUAACAGCUCACCUGCCGAGCUCGGUGGCCCCGAAAAUGGACGGGGCUUAAGCCGACUGCCGAUACUCUAGGUCACGGUCCCCAAGACCGUGGCGGUAGGGAGGCGUAGAGGUCGGGUAGAAGCUGAGCCGUAAGGUUCAGUGGACCGACCUCUAGUGCAGAUCCCGGUGGUAGUAGCAGCAUAGUCAGGUGAGAAUCCUGACCACCGAAAGGGCAAGGGUUUCCUGGCAACGCGUCGUCGACCAGGAGUAAGCCGGUCCUAAGUCCACGUUCAACUUGCGUGGACGAAAGGGAAACCGGUUAAUAUUCCGGUGCCUUGGAUAGCACGCGUUACCAGACGAAAGUCUGGUAACACACUAUUCUUAGCGCGUUCAAGAUAGCUGGAGUGGAGCCGUCGCUCCAUUUAACUCUACAAGGUAGGAGGAGUGUCGUAAUGACGAGAAUCCUACCGAGUGAGGAAUAGCCGACCAUUUGGUCGGUUCCAGCGAUUCUUGGACGCCAUGAAAACUAAGAAUAGGAGUGCUAUCCAAGACCGUACCGAGAACCGACACAGGUGCCCUGGGUGAGAAGCCCAAGGUGUAUCGGGAAUACCGUAGGCGAGGGAACUCGGCAAAUUAGCCCCGUACCUUCGGUAUAAGGGGUGCCUGUGGCCUUGGCGAAACCAGGGUCGCAGGUCGCAGUGACAAGGGGGUCCCGACUGUUUAAUAAAAACAUAGGAGACUGCAAGCCCGAAAGGGUGUGUACAGUCUCUGAAUCCUGGCCAGUGGCGGUACCUAAAACCCGGGUACAACCGGGCUAAGGGCCGCUAAACGCCGGGAGUAACUCUGACUCUCUUAAGGUAGCCAAAUGCCUUGUCGGGUAAGUUCCGACGUGCAUGAAUGGAUCAACGAGGGCCCCACUGUCCCCGCCUACUACCCGGCGAACCCACAUAACGUGGACGAACAGUCCACGAACUCCCAUCGGGGAGAGAAGUCCCUGUGGAGCUUUACUGCAGCCUGUCGUUGUGCCGUGGUCGGGGUUGCAGAGCGUAGCUGGGAGCCUUAGAAGGUGUUCCUCUGGGAACACUGGAGGCGCCAAUGUAACACCAGCCAACUCCGGCUACAGCACUAACUACGGGUGACCGUAGGACACCGGCAGGUGGGCAGUUCGGCUGGGGCGGCACCCCCUUGAAAAGAUAUCGAGGGGGCCCAAAGGUUGGCUCAAGCGGGUCAGAACUCCGCUGUAGAGGGCAAGGCCAAAAGCCAGCCUGACUGGAUUCUUCACAGAGGAGAAUCCAGAGGCGAAAGCCGGGCCUAGCGAUCAUUCGUGUCCCCACCAUUGGGGGCCGGAUGUGACAGAAAAGUUACCCCAGGGAUAACAGGCUCGUCGCGGGCGAGAGUCCCCAUCGACCCCGCGGUUUGGUACCUCGAUGUCGGCUCUUCCCAUCCUGGUCCUGCAGCAGGGGCCAAGGGUGGGGCUGCUCGCCCAUUAAAGGGGAACGUGAGCUGGGUUUAGACCGUCGUGAGA